rnacentral:rRNA from 1 species
UACGGAGGGUGCAAGCGUUAUCCGGAUUCACUGGGUUUAAAGGGUGCGUAGGUGGGCAGUUAAGUCAGUGGUGAAAUCUCCGGGCUUAACCCGGAAACUGCCAUUGAUACUAUCUGUCUUGAAUAUCGUGGAGGUAAGCGGAAUAUGUCAUGUAGCGGUGAAAUGCUUAGAUAUGACAUAGAACACCAAUUGCGAAGGCAGCUUACUACCCGAAUAUUGACACUGAGGCACGAAAAGCGUGGGGAUCAAACAGG